rnacentral:rRNA from 1 species
CAGUAGCCACGGGAAUACGAAGGGGGCUAGCGUUGUUCGGAUUUACUGGGCGUAAAGGGCGCGUAGGCGGACUGAUAAGUCAGGGGUGAAAUCCCAAGGCUCAACCUUGGAACUGCCUUUGAUACUGUUUGUCUUGAGUUCGAGAGAGGUAAGUGGAACUGCGAGUGUAGAGGUGAAAUUCGUAGAUAUUCGCAAGAACACCAGUGGCGAAGGCGGCUUACUGGCUCGAAACUGACGCUGAGGCGCGAAAGCGUGGGGAGCAAACAGGAUUAGAUACCCGCGUAGUCCCUGUCUCUUAUAA